rnacentral:rRNA from 1 species
CGAAGUUAUGCAGCGUUGUGGUAGGGGGGGCGGUGGGGUUGUGUCGAAGCAUUGGUGUGAACCUGUGUAGAACAGCCUCUAGUGCAGAUCUUGGUGGUAGUAGCAAUUAAUCAAAUGAGAACUUUGAUGGCCGAAGUGGGGAAGGUUCCAUGAGAACAGCAAUUGGUCAUGGGUGACUCGGUCCUAAGACAUUGGGAAACUCCUUGUCAGUGAGCUUUUGCUCGUAGUCAAAAGGGAAUGAGGUUAAUAUUCCUCAAGCUAGAGUAGGAGAUUAAUACGGUAACGUUUGUGAGCUCAAUGACACUAGCACGUGCCUCUGGAAGAGUUAUCUUUUCUUUUUAACAGAUCAAUGACCAUGAAAUCGGGUUAACCGGAGAUAUGGUUAUAAAUCUGGAAGAGCAUCGUC